UUCUCUUAAAAGAGCCAUUAACUAAAGGAGAGCUUAGGUAGAGCUAGGGGGCCUUAACACUAAUGUACAUGGAAGUUAACUCAAUGCUAUUUCUCAUCACAAGAGGUAAGUGUGAGUUUUAUUGGAAAGUUGUCCUGCCAAGUAACUUUUUUUUUUUUUUAAUUUUGAGGGUUAUUUUGUUUCAUAUGAAAUAUUUUAGGAACUGCAUGGUAUAGCUGGUGAAAUUCUGGUUAUGGUAUCAGGAAAAGCAGGUUUUGUUUUCCACCUUAAACACUUAGCUGUAUGAUCCACAGCAAAUCAUUGAAAUCUCUCUGUCCUCAAUUUCUUCAACUGUAAUGUGAAUGCGUUAUUCUUGUGAGUCUCUGAGGUCCCUACUAGCUCUCAAAUCAUGAUCCUGUAAUUUUGUGUGUGUUUGUUCCAGGUAACGUAGUGCAGACAGUUCUGGGUUAGGAGUGAGGAAGAUAUGUUCAAGCAGUAUCUCUACCACAUAUUGGCUUUGUGAUUCUGGAGAUUCUGGGAGGCAGAGGAGAUGAUCUAUGAUUCCAGUAAAGAAUGGUUGUUGAAUUUUCCAGAAACCUUAGAGGCCAUCAAGUCCUCUCUUCUCCACUCAUUUUACUGAUGAAGAAACUAAGACUCAGAGAGAUGAAGUGAAUUGCCCAGCAUCACACAGAUAAUAAAUGGAAGAAGUUGAGUUUCAGAUGGAGUUACAUCUUCUGACUUCAAAUCCAUUUCUCUCUCCUUUGUAUUAUAUAUUCUGCCUCUCCAGAAAUAAUUGCUAUCAUGAUUUAUUAUUUCACUUUCAGUCCUUUGGAUCUAAAUUUUAUUUCACUCCCUUAAUUAGUCCCUUUUCAACCAUAUUAAAAUUCAAGUCAUCAAAAUGCUAAGAACUAGAUAGAGAAUUCCCAAAAUAUAUUUAUUGGCUUAUGAGAUCUUACACAUGAUUUGAAGCAUUGUCUUGCAUGGUUUGGUCCAAAAAGCCAAAACUAGGAGCAAUAAGUAGGUAGAAGAUGCAUGUAAGUAGAUGAGAGCCAAUUUUUGAUUUCAUCUAAGGAAAUACUUUUGGAUAAUGAUACUGUAAUCACCUAGAGAAUAAAACUCCUUAUCAGCAAGGCCUUAAGUAGAAGGAACUAGGGAGAAGAGACAUACUCAGAGUCACACAGCUAAGGAGAAUGAGACUUGGUAACCAGUUCAUACCUACAUUGGCUUACAGAGUUUAUGAAGUGCUUUCUGAAUAAAGAAAUUGUAAGGAAGCUAUUGCAAGCAUUAUCCCCAUUUUGCACCUGGAGAAUGGACUGGGAAAUUAAGAGGCUUAUUCAGGAUUGCAUGGUUUAUUAUGUUCUGGUCCAGGUCUUCUAUCUACCAUCUAGGAUUCUUUCCAUUACACCACACUUCCUUGCAGCAACAACCUCUUUUACUUAUAAUGAAUGCCCUUCAUUAUCCCUAGCAGAUGAAGAUCUGCUAGAUUUUAACCAAAAAGAACUGAAAUGUAUAUGGAGAGUUGUUUUAUCACUAUCAUUUUUGGACGUGAAAAUGCAUUAUCCUAUUGGAUUCUUAUAACUACCUUUUAAGUUAGGUUUUAUAGGCUUGGUUAUCACCAUUUAACAGAUGUAGCGCCUGAGGCUUCUUCCCACAUGUGGGCAGGCAGAAAAGCAGCUCCCAGUUCAAUGUACUUUGUAAGUCACCAUUCUCUCAAAACCUCAGUUCAUGAACCUCCACAAACUUAACUUUUGCCAAGCAGAGGCCAUAUAAUUCAAAAUAUGACACUUAGUUAAACAACAUAGGAAAUAAAGUGAAAG